GGCCUGGUAGUGUAACAGCAACAUGCCCUGCUCAAAUGAUCGUCACCACCUGCUUUGUAUUUCCAGGGAGUCCCUCGUUCGAAUCGAGGCCAGGCCG